AGCGCAAGCUGAUGUAUACGGGCUGAUGCCUGGCCAGUGUCAGAAGGUUAAGAGAGCUUGGGCAACCUCGCUCUUCAAGCCCUGAUGAACGCCGGCAGUAACUAUUAGACAUAGUAGUUAUAAAAUUUGGCUAUUUGCGGGAAACCCCGUGCACGCACGACGUGCUUAAAGCUGAAAGUACUCGUCUGAAAUACGACAGUAAAAAUCUUUCAGAUACGGACAAUCCGCAGGGAAGACUCACUGAAGAUCCAUGAAAGGAGAAUUUAUGGAUCUACAAUGGUUAAAAACCAUACCUAUUGAAAAAGGUUAUUAUUUCGCGGGAUUUGUGGAUGGUGAAGGAAGCUUCAAUGUUUCUUUGCAGAAACGGCAUGACCACAAACUCGGAUGGAAAAUAAUUUUAACCUUUAAUGUAUCUCAACGCGAUCCUAUUGUCUUGGCAGAAAUGAAAAGAUAUCUGGGUUGCGGGAGAUUUUUUGCCAGAAAAGACGGUGUGAACUGUUAUAUAGUUCAGAAUCCGUCGGCAAUUCAGGAAAGGAUAAUACCUUUCUUUAAGCGGUUUCCUUUUAUUUCCGCCAGCAAAAAAAGGAAUUUCUCCAUUUUUGUCCAAAUUGCAGAAAUGGUGUUUAACAAGCAGCAUCUUACCAAAGAAGGCAUGUUAAAAAUCGUUAAUUUAAGAGAACUCUUAAAUAAAGGCAAAGGCAGAAAGAGAAAAUAUACGUUAGUAGAUUAUAAAGGAUCUACAAGUGAGAACCCUCAACGACUACACGCCAAACACUCCUAAGAGUGAUGAUAUAGUCUGAACUGCAUGGAGACAUGCAGAUAACACAAUUGAACUGUCCUAUGGUAGCGAAAUUCCUUGUCGCGUAAGUUGCGACCCGCACGAAUGGCAUAACGAGUAGAGGACUGUCUUGACGAACAACCCGAUGAAUUUACAGUGACGGUAAAGAUGCCGUCUACCCGCAACAAGACGGAAAGACCCUAUGAAGCUUUACUAUAGCGUGUUAUUGAAAUAAGAAUUUUGCUGCUUAGCAUAGGUGGGAGACUUUGAAGUGCCGCUCCGGCGGUAACUGAGUCGAAAUGUGAAAUACCACCCUGUAUGAUUUUUGUUUCUAACCAGCGCCUAACCUACGCUGGGACAGUGACUCGUGGGUAGUUUAACUGGGGCGGUUGCCUCCUAAAUGGUAACGGAGGCGUUUAUUAAGGUAAGCUAAACGCGGAUGGAAAUCGCGUUGAUAGUGCAAACGCACAAGCUUGCUUGACUGCAAGGCCGGCGAGCCGCGCAGGUACGAAAGUAGAAGUUAGUGAUCCGAUGCGUUAGAGUGGAAUACGCAAAGCCCAACGGAUAAAAGUUACUCUAGGGAUAACAGGCUGAUCCAGUCCAAGAGUCCACAUCGACGACUGGGUUUGGCACCUCGAUGUCGGCUCAUCACGUCCUGGGGGUGGAGAAGCUCCCAAGGGUUAGGCUGUUCGCCUAUUAAAGUGGUACGCGAGCUGGGUUCAAAACGUCGUGAGACAGUUUGGUCCUUAUCUGUUGUGGGUGUACGAAAUUUGAGUGGGCGCAUCUCUAGUACGAGAGGACCGAGAUGCAUGGACCUCUGGUGUACCCGUUGUCGCGUCCGCGGCAUGGCGGGGUAGCUAGGUCCAGUUCAGAUAAGCGCUGAAGGCAUAUAAGCGCGAAGCUGUCCACAAAACUAGAUUUCGUUGCGCAAGCGAUUGCGCGAUAGAUUCGCAGAAGACGACUGCGUAUUUUAUCCGAUGAUUGAGCUGAUGUUUUGUAGCAAUACAGAAUUGAAGCGAUAUUUGAGGAUCUAUAGGUUGCAGGUGUACGCACAGUAAUGUGUUCAGCCGAGCAAUACUAAUAAUCGAAAAUUUUAUUCUU
rnacentral:rRNA from 1 species